GAGGCCCAGCGCCUCCGAGCAUGGUGCACCCGGACAGAGAUGAAAACCUACUCCGAUCUGACAGCACAAACCAGGCCCACAGGCCUUCUCCAAUUCCGUUACCAACAAGUCAAGCAUUACUACGCCGCUCUCCAAGGGAAACAGUUACUGCAUAGGGACCCCACGCAAUUCGAGACUUUCUGCUCCAGCGAAGAACAUUUGACCCAUGGAAUAUCGACGCUCUACGCAAUGCUCUUGGCCGCUGACCAGGGG